rnacentral:lncRNA from 1 species
UGCGUGCCCGCCCCGCUCCGCCCCAUUAAAAUCUUUCAUGCCCCGGCCCAUUUAAGAUUUGUGCUGUCUUGCCCUGGCUUUUUUAUCCUUUUCAAAUUUUACUUGUGAAAUUUUAUUGAGAUAUUAAUAUUGUUUUUGUAUACUUAUUCCACAUUUUAUAAAUUUAUACGUAAUUUAUGCAGGUACAAUUUUAUGAGGAAAAUAAAUGAAGCAACUAAUGCUCUAUUGUUAUUGUUUUUGUUUUUGUUCUAUGCGCCGAGGGUCGAUUGGAAACAG